AGACUGAGCAACCAGAUUUCAUUGCUGCAAAUCAGUCAGGAAAAUUGAUCCCCUGGAGCAUCAUCGUUUGCAUAGCAUCAGUCCCGACUGGUAUCUUUAUCAAAAGAAGGUCCAAGCAGCGCCUUCAGUAAUUUGAGGCCUAUGUGGGCACCCCCAUGAAUAACCCGCGAACCGGUCGAGCGACGACGCUAUACAAGCCAUCGCCGUCUAUAUGACCAUACUCGUAACUGAAGAAGGAACUCGUCCACAAACUAACACGUAAAGGAAAGAACUCAUCAGCAAAAUAACACGUAAAGAAAGAACUCGUCCACAAACUAACACGUAAAAGAAAGAACUCGUCCACAAACUAACACGUAAAAGAAAGAACUCGUCUGCA